rnacentral:rRNA from 1 species
UAAAGGAAUUGACGGGGCCCGCACAAGCGGUGGAGUAUGUGGUUUAAUUCGAUGCAACGCGAAGAACCUUACCUGGUCUUGACAUCCCGGAGACCCUUAGGAAACUAGGGGGUGCUUCCAUCUGGAAGAAUCUGGAGACAGGUGCUGCAUGGCUGUCGUCAGCUCGUGUCGUGAGAUGUUGGGUUAAGUCCCGCAACGAGCGCAACCCUUGCCUUUAGUUGCCAGCAGUUCGGCUGGGCACUCUAAAGGGACUGCCGGUGUUAAACCGGAGGAAGGUGGGGAUGACGUCAAGUCCUCAUGGCCUUUAUGACCAGGGCUACACACGUACUACAAUGGCCGAUACAAAGGGCAGCGACACUGCGAGGUGAAGCCAAUCCCGUAAAAUCGGUCUCAGUCCGGAUUGGAGUCUGCAACUCGACUCCAUGAAGUUGGAAUCGCUAGUAAUCGUGGAUCAGCAUGCCACGGUGAAUACGUUCCCGGGCCUU